rnacentral:rRNA from 1 species
GAUGAGCCCGCGUUGGAUUAGCUAGUUGGUGGGGUAAAGGCCUACCAAGGCGACGAUCCAUAGCUGGUCUGAGAGGAUGAUCAGCCACAUUGGGACUGAGACACGGCCCAAACUCCUACGGGAGGCAGCAGUGGGGAAUAUUGGACAAUGGGCGCAAGCCUGAUCCAGCCAUGCCGCGUGAGUGAUGAAGGUCUUAGGAUUGUAAAGCUCUUUCACCGGGGACGAUAAUGACGGUACCCGGAGAGGAAGCCCCGGCUAACUUCGUGCCAGCAGCCGCGGUAAUACGAAGGGGGCUAGCGUUGUUCGGAAUUACUGGGCGUAAAGCGCACGUAGGCGGAUAUUUAAGUCAGGGGUGAAAUCCCGGGGCUCAACCCCGGAACUGCCUUUGAUACUGGGUAUCUUGAGUGUGGUAGAGGUGAGUGGAAUUGCGAGUGUAGAGGUGAAAUUCGUAGAUAUUCGCAGGAACACCAGUGGCGAAGGCGGCUCACUGGACCACAACUGGCGCUGAGGUGCGAAAGCGUGGGGAGCAAACUGGAUUAGAUACCCUGGUAGUCCACGCC